rnacentral:misc_RNA from 1 species
GUGAAUCAUCGAAUUUUUGAACGCAAAUUGCGCCUUUUUCGGAAGGCAUGUCGGGUUGAGGGGUCCGUUUAACAGAUAAUGUGCAGCGUUUUUUGUUGCACAGGUUGAGGAGCUUUCCAAGAAUUUUAAAGUGUGGGUUGCGUAUAAUGAACAGCGUGAAAGUUUUUUUCAGUUCGAGUGUAGUAAAAUCUUUGCUUGGGUUGUGAAAAAACAGAAUCGCGCAAUGGGUGGGGCAAUUUCUUGUUAUCCCUUCCCCAGCGCCACUCUUUCUCGCUAAAGUAUAUUAAUCUUCAGGG